ACAUGGUAUCCCAGCAACCAAAUGUACAACACAGGAGACAGAUGAAUUUCUCAUUCUUGUAGGCUACCAUUUCUUUUGGCUUAUUACAAAACAACAGGAUGCUGCAGCUUUAUCAAAGUCUACUUAUUUGUCCACUAAAAGUUUAUGGCUAUACGUUUCCAACUAGAACAUCUGAACACCAAUAUAUGGAAUUCUGACAAAGUUAAAACCAGGAAGAGAUCCUAUGAAGGCUGACAUUUUGUACAUCUGUUUUAUAGAACAAUAAAAAUAAGAAGAACAAGAAUAAGAACAGCAACAACAUUUGCAGCCACUGUCUAGACCACAGGAAACCUGGUCAACAACAUAUGGGAUGUCACCAGAUUCAGACUCAGAAGUUUCCAUAAUGCCGUUGCCAACAGCUAGACACAAGAGAGUACUCUAUCUGUGUUCUUGAGUGGAGAUGAUGAAGAUUAGAACUAUACCUGAGUUGUGAUGAACAUGGAAAGUGAUUUGGAGAGUUGCACUUUUCUUGAAACCUGAGCCUGAGAAUUUGCUUAUGGAUUGUAUAUGAUGCCAGGAAAUGGAAUAGAGGACUGGGAAGAGUGAGAGAAGGAAGAGAAGCCAGGAGGAGAGUAUGUUACGAGCUGUGAAUAAUUGGGACUUGAUUCCACUGAGCUCCUUUGAAGUAUCUGAGAAUUUGACUGCAGAAUUGUGAACCUGAAAAUCACAGAAAAGAGAAUAUUUAUCUAUUGAACCUUCUCUUCAUCUUGCAUUGGUCAAGAGUUGUCCUACGGGAUAUUAAGACACUUGCACUUUCAAGUUUGCAGAAGUAUGGGAACGAAAGCAUCCAAAAAGCCCUGAGGCAGGAAGCAAGCUGAGACAAGGUGUUGGUGAUGAUGGUACACCUGGAUGAAGCUAACUUCAGCAGCAAUAGUUGCUGAAUGAAUUUUUCAUUUCAUCUAAGUUGCCACAUUCAUCAGCAUAAAAUUGUUAAUGAUAUUCUUUUAGAACUUGGAGGGUGGUAGGAGAGAGAGGAGCAGAAAAAAAUAACUAUUGGAUAUGAGCCUUAAUACCUGGGUUUUGACAUAAUCUGUACAACAAACCUCCAUGAAACAAGUUUACCUAUAUAACAAACCUUCACAUGCACCCCCAAAUCUAAAAUAAAAGUUGAAGCAA
rnacentral:lncRNA from 1 species